rnacentral:rRNA from 1 species
AGCAGCCGCGGUAAUUCCAGCUCCAAUAGCGUAUAUUAAAGUUGUUGCAGUUAAAAAGCUCGUAGUUGAAUUUCGGGGUUAGUAGGUUGGUCAUGCCUCUGGUAUGUACUGGUCUCACUGAUUCCUCCUUCCUGAUGAGCCGUAAUGCCAUUAAUUUGGUGUUGCGGGGAAUUUGGACUGUUACUUUGAAAAAAUUAGAGUGUUUAAAGCAAGCUAACGCUUGAAUACAUUAGCAUGGAAUAAUGAAAUAGGACGUUCGAUCCUAUUUUGUUGGUUUCUAGGAUUGACGUAAUGAUUAAUAGGGAUAGUUGGGGGCAUUAGUAUUCAAUUGUCAGAGGUGAAAUUCUUGGAUUUAUUGAAGACUAACUACUGCGAAAGCAUUUGCCAAGGAUGUUUUCAUUAAUCAAGAACGAAAGUUAGGGGAUCGAAGACGAUCAGAUACCGUCGUAGUCUUAACCAUAAACUAUGCCGACUAGGGAUCGGAUGAUGUUAAUUUUUAAUGAACUCAUUCGGCGCCUUA